GCCAGCGUGGCAUAGUGGUUUGAGCGUUGGACUAUGACUCUGGAGACCAGGGUUCGAUUCCUGCUCGGUCC
rnacentral:tRNA from 1 species